rnacentral:rRNA from 1 species
ACCAAAACUAGCCUAACCAUAUUCAUAACUCAAAUAUAAUGAAUAUAAUAAAACAAAACAUUUACCUUUAAAAGUAUAGGAGAUAGAAAUUUACUUAAGCGCUAUAGAAGUAGUACCGUAAGGGAAAGAUGAAAGAAUUAAUUAAAAGUACUAAAUAGCAUAGAUUAAACCUACUACCUUUUGCAUAAUGAAUUAACUAGAAAACCUUGACAAAAAGAACUUAAGUCAAAAACCCCGAAACCAAACGAGCUACUUUUGAACAGCUAACAAUUGAGCAAACUCGUCUAUGUGGCAAAAUAGUGAGAAGAUUUAAAAGUAGUGGUGAAAAGCCUAUCGAGUUUGGAGAUAGCUGGUUAUCCAAACAAGAAUUUAAGUUCAACUUUAAAUCUUUCCUAUAAAACCUAAAAUUUUAAUGAAGAUUUAAAUGUUAACUUAAGGAGGUACAGCUCCUUAAAUAAGGAUACUUCCUUAAAUAGAGGGUAAAUAAUAUAAUUAUCAUAGUAGGCCUAAAAGCAGCCAUCAAUUAAGAAAGCGUUCAAGCUCAACAAAAAAUCUCAAUUAUAUCCCAAAAACCACAAUCACCCCCUACAUAAAAAUUGGAUUAAUCUAUAUAAAUAGAAGAGAUAAUGUUAAUAUUAGUAACAAGAAGUAUUUCUCCUUGCACAAGCUUAAGUUAUAGGUAUAACCAAUUAACAAUUAUAUAAAAAAUUCACACAUUAGCCUAUUAUUAUAAAAAUUGUUAACCCAACCCAGGAGUGCAAUAAGGAAAGACUAAAACAAGUAAAAGGAACUCGGCAAACAUAAAUCCCGCCUGUUUACCAAAAACAUCACCUCUAGCAUUUCAAGUAUUAGAGGCACUGCCUGCCCAGUGACUAUUAAAGUUUAACGGCCGCGGUAUCCUGACCGUGCAAAGGUAGCAUAAUCACUUGUUCCUUAAAUAGGGACUUGUAUGAAUGGCUUGACGAGGAUUUAACUGUCUCUUACUUGCAGUCAGUGAAAUUGACAUUCCCGUGAAGAGGCGGGAAUAAAACAAUAAGACGAGAAGACCCUAUGGAGCUUUAAUUUAUUAACUCAUUUUACUAAACUAAAAUCAAUUAGAGAUAAAAAACAAAUUAUGAGUUAACAAUUUUGGUUGGGGUGACCUCGGAGUAAAAACCAACCUCCGAAUGAUAUUAAUUUAGAUUUACAAAUCAAAGUUUAAAUCAUAAAUUGACCCAGAAACAUCUGAUCAACGAACCAAGUUACCCUAGGGAUAACAGCGCAAUCCUAUUAAAGAGUUCAUAUCGACAAUAGGGUUUACGACCUCGAUGUUGGAUCAGGACCCCCAAAUGGUGCAACAGCUAUUAAAGGUUCGUUUGUUCAACGAUUAAAGUCCUACGUGAUCUGAGUUCAGACCGGAGUAAUCCAGGUCGGUUUCUAUCUAUUAAAAAUUUCUCCCAGUACGAAAGGACAAGAGAAAUCAGGCCAAUAAAAUAAUUAUGCCUUAAUAGCAAAAGAAUGAUAUAAUAUUAACUCUUUAGCUAUUAAUAAUCACAAACCCAAGAUAAGGGUUU